GAGAGAGAACGUCGUUUUGACACCGCAUUUAUUUUCGCUUUGCAAAACAAGAGGUGCGGUUGGCCUGGAAGCAAUCUCCGUCGUCUCUCCGUUUUCCUCCUUCAUCGCCAUUGAAGCUUAAGGAGCUUGUUUCCCUCUCUGGUCACUACAACGGCAGGAGAGGCUGAAUAAAUUGAAGGAUAAGGAUGAUUCAGACAUCCAUCAGCAACAUCGCCAAGACUGUCAAGGUUAUGUAUGGAUUGGAGAAAGAAAGGAUAAUGUUGAAUUAUAUUUAAACAAUCUAUUCCUUCAAGUCAAUUUUUUCUCAAUCCAAAUAUACAUACCAUUGCUCAAACCUGUUUAGCUAAAGGUCACUUCCAGCAAUAAAAGCUAAACAGAGAGUGUACACAGUGAUUCAGGUUUGCGAAUAAAUAUGAACUGGAGUUCAUGUUCUGGAGUAGCACAGACUUUAGCGCUCUGGAUUUAUGCUCCUUAAUUGUGA